GACGAACGCUGGCGGCGUGCUUAACACAUGCAAGUCGAGCGGAAAGGCCACUUCUGUGGUACUCGAGCGGCGCACGGGCGAGUAACACGUGCGUAAUCUGCCCCUCACUUUGGGAUAGCCACCGGAAACGGUGAUUAAUACCGGCUAUGACCAUAUGUCGCAUGGCGUGUGGUGGAAAGUUUUUCGGUGAGGGAUGUGCUCGCGGCCUAUCAGCUUGGUGGUGGGGUAAUGGCUCACCAUGGCUUCGACGGGUAGCCGGCCUGAGAGGGUGACCGGUCACACUGGGACUGAGACGCGGCCCAGACUCCUACGGGAGGCAGCAGUGGGGAAUAUUGGACAAUGGGCGGAAGCCUGAUCCAGCAACGCCGCGUGGGGGAUGACGGCCUUCGGGUUGUAAACCUCUUUCAGUACCGACGAAGCGCAAGUGACGGUAGGUACAGAAGAAGCACCGGCCAACUACGUG
rnacentral:rRNA from 1 species